UUGGUUGUUGAAGCUAUUCUCAUAUGAUUAUGAGACGAGCCCCUAUGGUUUACCAUUCCAACAGGCAGAUCUCCCGCAUCACUUUCUGUAUUUCCGCCUAUCAGUACUAUAUAAUUCACAUUAUUUUAAAAGGUUUAUAUGAAGGCUAUUCUAUUAAUGUCCUUUGGUAUCUUGCAUUCACAUCUACUUUAAAGGUGCCCAGAAUUUGGUCUAUCUGUCUGAUCCGGUGGUCCUCAGCUCCUCUAAUUCCAUCGCCACUUGGUUGCUGCCAAUGGAGAGGGUGUGAUUAUGGGUACCAUUGCGCUUCCCCCUCUGAUCGAGCUAGCGGCUGAUGUCAUUUACAAAUACGGUGCCAGUCACUCUCUUUGCCAGUUUCGGUUUGGAGGCAUUGGAUUCUUUUGACGGCAUCAACUUGCAUUGUCAGAGCUGAGCAUGCCGAGUGCAAAGAGUAGAGGUAUUUAUGGAUCGAGUCGGAUCAAGUGUUAACACAAGUUAUAUUUGUACAAGUUCAGCUUGAUGUGAAAUAUAAAUUUAAAAUUUUGUUAA